rnacentral:rRNA from 1 species
AGAGUUUGAUCAUGGCUCAGGAUGAACGCUGGCGGUAUGCCUAACACAUGCAAGUCGAACGAUGUCUUCGGACAUAGUGGCGGACGGGUGAGUAACGCGUGAGAAUCUGCCUCUAGGAUGGGGAUAACGGUUGGAAACGACCGCUAACACCCAAUAUGCCGUAAGGUGAAAAAUUUAUUGCCUGGAGAGGAGCUCGCGUCUGAUUAGCUAGUUGGUGGGGUAAGAGCUCACCAAGGCUUCGAUCAGUAGCUGGUCUGAGAGGAUGGGCAGCCACACUGGGACUGAGACACGGCCCAGACUCCUACGGGAGGCAGCAGUGGGGAAUUUUCCGCAAUGGGCGAAAGCCUGACGGAGCAAUACCGCGUGAGGGAGGAAUGCCUUUGGGUUGUAAACCUCUUUUCUCAGGGAAGAAGAUCUGACGGUACCUGAGGAAUAAGUAUCGGCUAACUCCGUGCCAGCAGCCGCGGUAAUACGGAGGAUGCAAGCGUUAUCCGGAAUCAUUGGGCGUAAAGCGUCCGCAGGUGGUUUCCAAAGUCUGCUGUUAAAGACUGGAGCUCAACUCCGGAACGGCGGUGGAAACUUGGAAACUAGAGUUCGGUAGGGGUAGCAGGAAUUCCCAGUGUAGCGGUGAAAUGCGUAGAUAUUGGGAAGAACAUCGGUGGCGAANGCGUGCUACUGGACCGUAACUGACACUCAGGGACGAAAGCUAGGGGAGCGAAAGGGAUUAGAUACCCCUGUAGUCCUAGCUGUAAACGAUGGAAACUAGGUGUGGCUUGUAUCGACCCGAGCCGUGCCGUA